rnacentral:lncRNA from 1 species
GGGGAGAAAGGUUUUUAAUGGGGCCAUCAUAUGUAAUUUCCUUUUUUAGUUCUAUAAGAGCAAAAUCCCCCCAAGGAAUGUAAAUGUAAAAGCUGAGAACGCACCAUCGAGUGCCGAAGUAAAAAGCGAAGAAGCUCCAAAGUCGUUCCUAAGGGAAUGCAGAGCUUACAGCGAAAAGUCAACGCUGAUUCCGCCGAAAGUAAAAGGCGAAGAAGCUCCAAAGACGUUCCUAAGGGAAUGCAGAGCUGAUGUAUGAUUGUUUCUAAGGAAAUAAUGGCUGAGAGUAUGGCUUCGGAUAUGUGUUUGGACAUUCAUUUCCACAUCACAUUACAUCAUAGCAUUUGCAAUCAUAAACAUUCAUCCAGGCAUAUGUAGGAUAAUCAUCAUCAUGGCAUAAAUGGUUGCUUCGGCAAAAAGAAAAAAAAAGAGAAGAGCUUCUUCGCGUACAAAAAGGAGAGCUUCGGAAAAAAGGGAAAUGUUGUUUUCUAUGCUUCGCUGAGUACGAAAAGAAGGGAAGGUGUUUUUUCGCCUUCGGCUCAAAAAAGAUAAUUUCGUUCACAACGAAGCACAUCGCAUACAUUAAUGGAAGGGUAAGAGCAUAAUACAAGGUAUGAACAGAACUCAUUAAAGUUAAGUUUAGUUACAUUUACAAAGGUUAUCUCAAAAGUUUCCUGAGUCUGUCUACAGUCUACUCCUAUUUAAUCUUCGAGGGAUUUUAGCUUCGGCGUCAUUCUUUUUAAUCAUCGACUUCGGCUUCGUCAUCCUACAUGAAUUAAGUUGUUGUAAGUCAAAAUCGAGCUUGAAGGAAGAGGUAAGCACAAGGUAUGAUUUCUUACUGGUUCAAGAUGACUCCGAGCUUCGUCUCCAGCUUUUUCCCGCCCGCCUUUUGUCCAUAUCAUUUUUACAAAUCUAUUGGAAAUACUUCGGGCGAGAUCAGGGAUGUCAUCUAGGAUUGAUGGUGAUAAAGUGAAAUUGGGCCUGUUGACAAUCUUCCCGUGAUCGCAGCCAGCUUUUAGGAAAGCUGCAGCAGUACCCCGAGAAGCUACCCAGGCACAGAAGUCACCGUGCCCAGCUAUAACUUCGUCGAGCUCGUCAAUUUCACCCUCAAUAUGUUCGAAGGUCUUCGGUAAAUCUUCAGCUGAGGGGGUGAAUUUCUCACUGUUGGCUCCAACUGAGUGAAAAUUUUUUCUUAAACGUUGGAUACAUUUGUUGCUAAAUUCCAAACAUUUUUCUUGAAGGCCCGCUAAUAGCCUUUUCAAAUCUGAAUUUUGUUGAGUUUCGGCUUGAAGUUUUGCAUUAAGUUCUUCCUUUUCUUGUUCAAAUUGCUCAGAUUGGCGGAGAAGCUUCAUGUUCAGUUCUGUUAUUUUAGCUUCGGCCUCCGCCAAUAAACCUUCAGUUGCUUGGAGCUCAAAGUUCUUCUUCUCAACAGCAGCUGUUUGCUCCUUUAUUUUGCUUUCUAAAUUUUCAAUUAUAACUUCGUGUUUCUUGUCUUCAAAAUCUUGUUGCAUUUUCAAGGCUUUGCUCAACAGCAUACUCUGCACGAAAACAACCUUCGUUAGACAUGUUUUCAUUAUUAAAAACAAUAAAAGUUAAGGGAAAAGUAGUUCACCUUGAAAUUGGAAUAAAAUAAACUACCAACGAUAUGUUGUCGUCGGUAGCGGCUAAUGUCCGUUUCUAGCUUCGGAAAACCGAUACUCUUUGACAGAGUACCGAUAACUUUGGCUCCAGUUUGAUCUCGAAUACAAUCUAACUUUUCAUCAUCAAUACCUCCGAAGAGGAGUGCUCCUGGUUUGUACCCGCAAGAUUUGGCAUACUCUUUAAGCUCUUCUAUUUCGGGUUUUGACAAUUUUUCUCCAACUAAAUUUUGAAACAUGAAGGUUUCGUCCUCCGAAGCUUCAUCAACAAUUUCCUUUUCUUUCCCCGGCACUGCGGCCAUAGCCUCUUCGGCGGCAGUGGUAGCUUCUUCUGUGGCCAUGUCUAGCAGCAUUUUGUCGAUGUCUUCGAUUGUGCUUUCCAGGUUCAAAUCUUCAACUGAGGCAGCUUCGGCAGCCGCGACCUCCGAAGGUGUGAUUUCAAUAUUUGUUUUUUCUUCAGCCGCUGGUGUCUUCUGAGCUGAAGCUCUUGGUGGUGUCUUGUCAAUGACCUUUGUCACAGUGAUAAUUCUUUGUCUCUUUGCUUUAGUUGUUUUCUUCGAUUUUUCGGGCUCCUUUUCCUUCUGAAAAAACUUUGUCAGUUGAGGCCCCAAUGGACUUAGCUUCGCAGACAGGGAUUCAGUCAUUACCUUCAGAAUUUCCUCCACGUCAGCGGCAGAGGGUGAUGCGGGGGUUUCUUCUUCGUCGGACAUUUUUUGCUUCGGAGAAGACGCUUUCCUCUUCUUUGGAAUUUUCUUCUUUGAUGGCUCUUUCUCAUCUUCAUUUAAGGCUUCAGUUAUCCUUUUCCUUUUUUGGCCCCCGGCACCUUUGUUCAGAUUUUCAUAGUCAGGGUAUUCGAAACCCAGAGCGUCCAGCACUCGAUUCAGUCUUCGCUUCGGACGGGUGCCGAAGGCCGCGGUCAUCAACUGAUCUUCUUUUUUGGAAUAAUUGCCGAGUAUUUCAUUGCACAUUACUUCAAUUGUAUCCAGCCACUCUUGGCAAGGUGUUUUAAAGUAUUUCUUAAACUUGAAAUAGUAAGGUAAACGCACAAGUUCACCUUCUUUCUUCUCCUCCUUUAGCUUCGGCAUUUCCCAUUUUUUUAAACUAGGAAAAACCUUGAAAGACAAAAACUCCUGAACCAGGUCUCUUGUACUGAUAUGCUCUGCAAUAAUUCUGAAUUCAUUCAGCGCUUGUUGGGUUGGACCUUCUGGUGUCAUAUUGCAACGAGGUCGGGUUUCUCCGAAGAUUAGUUCAAGUGGAGAUUGCACAAGCUUCUCCUUGUCGUCAUCAACCUUGACAUAGAACCACUCUGACUUCCAGCCUGCUGCCCAUUUGCUUCGGUAGCUGAUUACAGGAAACUUUGUGGUUUUCCGAUAAGCAAAAUUAUAGCAACCAAAAUUGUCAUGCAAUCCAUCUAUUCUAGCCUUCGUCUGAUAGUGCAAUUCGUGAACUCGACAAAAGCUGUCCGCAAACGGCUCCACCGCUUGGCUUCGCAGAGCCCAGAUAUAAACGCUAAGCCUAACAAUAGCGUUAGGAGUCAACUGAUGAAAGUAGAUAUCAAAUCUCUUCAGUACCUCUGCAAUAAUCCCAUGUAGGGGGAAUCUUAAUCCAGCCUUUAGAAAGCUCUUGAAAAUAACUAUUUCAUCCUUCUCCGGCUUUGGGGUAGUUUCUUCUCCCCCGAAGCGUAAUAACUUCUUCUGAUUUUCACUGAAAAAGCCCGACUUCACCAUCUUGGAGAGAUCAGCCUUCGAAACAGUAGACUUUCCGAAGUCCAAGUGGCUGGGCUUGCUUGGCAUGGCAAUACGAUAAUCGUCUUCGGGAUCAGUUUCCUCAAUAUCUUCUUCUUCUGCUUCGGCAAUUGCUUGUUCUGCUUGUUCUGCAUCAUCACUGGGGAUCUUUUCCGAAGUUACCAGCCCGGAUUGUCGCAUCGCUUCGGAGAUGGGAACAGUCUCCGAACCUUCAGCUUCGCCCCCCUCACGCUCAACCCUAGCGGUAGAACGCACUCUGGCCAUUUAAUUCUGAAUUUGUGGAAAUUAAAUACUUUUUUCUUCCGAAGUUUUUUCUUCUGACGAAGCAGAAUUCAAGCUGGAGCUUCGUCCGAUUCCGAGAGUCAAGCUUCGGCGAUGGUUAAAAAUUUUGGCAGCAAAACAGUGCAAAUAGCAAUGAAUGUUGUGGUAACUUCACACCUACCCGUCUGUUUAUAUAGUACUGCAGGUAAGAAGGCGAAGCGCCAGGAUUUUUACACCAGGCGGACACCCACUCGCACUCGCUGCGUGGUGGACCGCAGAGACCAAACAGUAACUCUGCAAGGUGGGACCGCUACGCGCUGGAAAACUGAAUCGUUUCUCGACAACGAGCUCAGGGAAGGUGUUUUUUUGGACCUUCGGCUCCCCGAAGCUUAAGAGACUUUUUUCACGGAUCAAGCUCGUUACGAAAAACGAUCUAGCACCGCGAAAGGGGCUACUGUUGGGUCUAUGCUUUGUCGCCGAAGGUCUUCUAGGAAGAAGCGGCUUUCGGCUGAAGCUGUUUGUAUGAGAUGGCCGAAGGUUCCUCUUCAUGAAGCUUCGAUAUUACAAACCGACUUAAAGAUAGAAUGACCUUUUAGUCCAUAAAGGUCUGAGUCAAUGUUGUAAACUUUUAUGAGGGGCAUAAUUGUAAUUCCUCACAGGCUGUGUCCUGUGCCUAUAAAUAGUGAACAGUAUCCCUUUACUGUUCACGGAUUCUUGUAAUUGCAAUCGCAUCAUUCAGGAAUCAACCUUUGCCAAGGCAGAGGUAUAACUGUAUUCAAUGAUUCAAUAUAUUGAUUAAAUAUAAUUUGAUUCGUUUAUGAUUCAUUUACCUUUGAUACCCUUUAUUUUAUAUUAUCUUAUACAAUCUAUUGAAAUUCGAUUACGAAGACUCAACCUUCGUAAUCGUGUUCUCGUCAACCUUCGUCCAAGGUUCAUUAUCCUCAAGGGAAUAAUGCUUCAUGGACGAAGGACAUUAACAUUUAACAUUCUAUGUUGCCUUGUUCUUAAUUCAUAGCAUUUGAGAACAAGUCCCAACAGUGGCAGUAGGUAUGUUUCCAAUCGAAUCCUACCCAGCAAAAGUAUUAUUUGAUACUGGUGCCACACUUUCUUUUGUUUCUACAUCUUGGGUAGAAUCACAUAACAUCCCCAUAGAACCAAUGAUCCCACCUUUAAGAGUUAAUUCAGUUGGGGGAAAAUUUUAGUCCAAUAGGAUCUGUCCGAAUCUAAGGAUUGAAAUAAGGGGGAUAGACUUCCUCGCUAACCUAGUAGUAAUGGGAACUCAAGGGUUAGAUGUCAUCCUAGAGAUGAAUUGGCUACCCAGAAACCAAGCCACUAUCAGUUGUGACAAGAGAACAGUCAAGUUGGUGUCCCCAUCCGGAAAGGAAGUAGUAACUAAGCUAUACUUGCUUGAACUAGAAGAAGGAGCAUGUCACCAUUUAUCAGUAGAUGACAAGGAGUCCAAUCCGAUUGAGGCAAUUAGGAUUGUGUCAGAACUCCCCGAUGUAUUCCCUGAAGAGUUACCAGGUAUGCCACCUAAAAGGAAGGUUGAAUUUGCCAUAGAGCUUAUCCCAGGCACCGCCUCUAUUUCCAAGAGAGCCUAUCGAGUGUCUGGACCAGAGUUGGUGGAACUCAAGAAGCAAAUUGAUGAGUUGUUGGAGAAAGGUUAUAUCAGACCAAGUACCUCACAUUGGGCAGCCCCAGUGCUAUUUGUGGAGAAGAAGGAUGACACGAAGAGGAUGUGCAUCGAUUAUAGAGCUUUGAAUGAAGUCACUGUCAAGAACAAGUACCCCUGCCUCGAAUCGAGGACCUAUUUGAUCAGUUGAGAAGGGCCAGUGUGUUCUCAAAGAUAGAUCUGAGGUCAAGUUACCAUCAGCUCAGAAUCCGACCUUCAGAUAUACCGAAGACAGCAUUCAUCACUAAGUAUGAGCUAUAUGAGUUCAUGGUUAUGUCAUUCAGUUUGACGAAUGCACCAGCCUACUUCAUGUAUCUGAUGAACAGUGUGUUUAUGGACUACCUCGACAAGUUCGUAGUGGUGUCCAUUGAUGAUAUUCUUGUAUAUUCCCAGAAUGAGCAAGAGCAUGAAGAACAUUUGAGGAAAGUACUUCAGAGGCUACGAGAUUGUCAGCUGUACGCCAAGCUUAGCAAGUGCGAGUUCUGGAUCAGCGAAGUUCUGUUCUUGGGUCAUAUAAUAAACCGAGAUGGACUAGUUGUGGAUCCAAAGAAGGUAGCAGCGAUUCUGGACUGGAAAGCACCAAAAGAUGUCCGAGGAAUCAAGAGUUUCAUUGGAAUGGCCGGUUAAUAUCGGAGUUUCAUUAAGGGUUUCUCCAAGAUUGCUAGACCAAUGACAGCCUUGCUAGCAAAGAAGGUUGAGUUCAAGUGGACCCAGCGUGCCAAGAAUCAUUUGAAAUGUUGAAGGCAGAAGUUGACAAUAGCACCGUAUUGGUUCUGUCAGAUGUUCACAAGCCAUUCUCAGUAUAUUGUAAUGCUUCAUACACCGGACUAGGAUGUGUGUUAAUGCAGGAAGGGAAAGUAGUGGCAUACUUGUCCCGAAAAUUGAAAGUUCAUGAGAAGAAUUACCCCACUCAUGAUCUGGAGUUAGUAGCAGUGGUUCAUGCACUGAAGACCUGGAGACAUUAUCUUUAUGGGCAGAAGUGUGAUAUCUACACGGAUCACAAGAGCCUCAAGUACAUAUUCACUCAGUCGGAGUUAAACAUGAGGCAGCGAAGAUGGCUAGAAUUGAUCAAAGAUUAUGAGCUAGAAAUACAUUAUCACCCAGGCAAAGGAAAUGUGGUUGCAGAUGCUCUGAGCAGAAAGAGUCAAGUCAAUAUGUUGGCCACUCACCCGAUGCCGUUCGAGCUAGCAAAGGAAUUCGACAGGCUAAGUCUCGGAUUUCUGAACAACACUCACGGAGUGACAGUUGAGCUAGAACCCACUCUAGAACAAGACAUCAGGAAAGGUUAGAAGGACGACGAGAAGAUCAACGAGAUCCGACAGCUGAUCAUAGAUGGAAAAGGUCCAGAUUUCCGUGAAGAUGCAGAAGGAGUGGUAUUGUUCAAGGAUAGGUUGUGCGUUCCUGACAUCACAUCGAUUCGGGAACUGAUUCUCAAUGAAGCUCAUAAGACAGCAUAUUCUAUACACCCUGGUAGCGAGAAAAUGUACCAAGACUUGAAGAAGAGAUUCUGGUGGUAUGAUAUGAAAAAGAGAGAUAGCAGAGUAUGUGGCCAGAUGCGAUAGUUGUCAGAGGAUCAAGGUAGAACAUUAGAGACCCGCAGGUUUGUUGUAGCCGUUGCAGAUUCCUCAGUGGAAAUGGGAUGAGAUUGGGAUGGACUUUAUAGUUGGUCUGGCCCGCACUCGAGCUGGUUAUGACUCCAUCUGGGUAGUAGUGGACCGUUUAACAAAGGCGACCCAUUUCAUACCAGUCAAGACCACCUAUAAUAGUGCAUUGUUGGCAGAAUUAUACAUGUCUCGGAUUGUGUGCUUGCAUGGCAUUCUAAAGAAGAUCGUAUCGGACAGAGGCACCCAGUUUACUUCUCAUUUUUGGCAGCAGUUGCAUGAAGCUCUAGGCACACACUUGAAAUUUAGUUCAGCUUAUCACCCACAGACAGACGGUCAGACUGAGAGAACUAACCAGAUUCUAGAGGAUAUGUUGAGAGCUUGUGCUUUGCAGGACAAGUUAGGUUGGGAUAAGAGGCUACCGUAUGCAGAAUUCUCCUACAACAACGGCUAUCAGGCCAGCCUGAAGAUGUCACCAUUCCAAGCACUGUAUGGGAGGAAUUGCAGAACCCUAUUGCAUUGGGACCAACCCGGCGAAAGGCAGGUGUUCGGUCCAGAUAUUUUGCUUGACGCUAAAGAGAAUAUUAGAAUGGUCCAAGAAAAUCUGAAGACAGUGCAGUCCAGACAGCGAAGCUAUGCUGACACCAGAAGAAGGGAACUCAGUUUUGAAGUGGGGAGACUAUGUCUACUUGAAAGUGUCACCCAUCAGAGGAACCAAGAGGUUUGGAGCCAAAGGCAAGCUAGCACCUCGAUAUAUCGGGCUGUAUCAGAUUCAAGCAAGACGUGGAGAAUUGGCAUAUCAACUCAGCUUACCAGAAAAUCCGUCCGUUGUGCAUGAUGUGUUCCAUGUGUCUCAGCUGAAAAAAUGCUUGCGAGUACCAGAAGAGCAGUUGCCAAUGGAAGACCUUGCAGUUCAAGAAGAUCUGACGUACAUUGAGAAGCCAACUCAAAUUCUGGAGACAGUAGAUCGGGUCACUCGAAGGAGCACUAUCCAGAUGUGCAAAGUCAAAUGGGGUCAUCACUCAAAAGAAGAAGCAACCUGGGAAAGAGAAGAUUGUCUGAGAGCCAAGUACCCUGAACUCUUUUCUAGCCAGCCCUGAAUCUCGAGGGCGAGAUUCUUUUAAGGGGGAUAGGUCUGUAACACCCUGAAUUUGGGGGUAUAAAAUUUCUUUCUUAUUAUCAUCCAAAUUCAGGUGUUACUCUUCUCUCUCUCACUCUAGUUUCUAUCUCUCUAGUUUCUCUCUCUCUCUUCCUCUUUUGGUUAGGGUUAGCUUAGUUAGUGAGGGAUUAUUUAUUAUAUAUUUGACAAAACAGAUGAGUCAUGAAAUGUUGCAUCAUGUUGAGUUCCAAUAUUCUUUGAAUUAUUGCACAUGUUUGAUUUGGUUUGAAUUUGAAACUUGAUUUGAAUUUGAAUUGAAAACCCUAGAGAAAAUAAAUAGAAAAGAAAUUAGAAAUUCCGUGUAAAAUAGAAAAGCUAAUUCAGCCCAAGUCGGCCCAUUAAGCCUAGCCCCCCCCCCUGCGCGCCCGCGCCCGCUUGCCCUUGGUGCCUGACAGGCGGGUCCCGCUUGUCGGCGCCAAUCCGCGUGCCCUCUCUCCCUCUCUCUCUCGCUGCCCCGUGGGCCAGGUUUGUCGCCGUUGUUCCUCUCGCACGCGCGCCGCUCUCUCUCUCUCUGUCCCGUCGACCCCACCUGUCAGCUCGUCCCCAACCUCCCGCCCACAAUCCCCCGUCGUGGACGCGCCCAUGACCGCAUGAUCUCCGGCCACCUCUGCAUGUCCUCGCCCCUUUUGAGCCCCACGCCCCACUCGCCCACCUUCCCCUGCUCACUUGCACUCUCAGCCAAACCCUCUCGCCCUCUCCCUCGCUCUGCGCACGCGACCAGAGAACUCUGCCACCGCCCACCGUCGACUGUCGUCCGUUCUGCGACCGUCGUCGAGCCCGCGCCCCGUCUGUUGCCUCGGUGAGUUCUGCCUUGCCGUCAGCUACUCGGGACACCCUUUGGUUUGCCCUUCCCCUCUCUAGUUUGCCCGGUCCACGCUCACCGGAGCGUUUCUUGCGCAGCCGGAGCCCCGCCGCCGUCGACCCGAGGCUCCAUUGCACCCCCGCCGUUCUCCAAGUGUCUCGGAGUUCGCACUCAAGGUGAGCACUUUUCCCAUGCCUUUAUUUCGCCAAGCAUCGCCCCAGAGCCUGCGCAAUUGCUCACCAGAGUUAGUUGCGCCGUCGCGAGACUUUUUCCACAGCGGUCUGCGUUCUCUGGCGCCCCCGUGCCGGUUCUACGACACGAACGUGUUUGUCAUGUCGCCCUGAACGCGCAUGACCCUUUCCCUAAGCCCCUAGAGCCUCGCCGUGGCUGCCCCCCUCAUCUACGGUGAGCCCUCGCCGAGGGACCGAUCGGCGCCACCGCGCUCAUGUCUGGCCCUUGGCCGUUGGAUCCCGGGCGUCCGUCUGAGAUCUAACGGUUUAGGUUUAAUCAAUGCGGAUCUAAUCUCAGCCCUUCAAUCCAGAUCCGACCGCUCUUCUCUCUCCCCCGUACCCCUUCGUGUGUAUGUUUUACUAAAGAGACCCUCGGGUUUUAGGAAAUCAACCCGCCGUCCUGAGAUUUAGCGCAGACCCCUGGUUUCUUUUAAAUAGCUCCCUGUGCUUUUAUUUAAUCCAGAACUAGCCCUAAUGUCAAAUUUUAAACUUCAAAACUUGUUUAUUUCAUAUCUUUUUCAUAUGAACUCCAAAUUUAGUGGUUCAAAUUGCAAAAUGUUCAUGAAAUUAUUCUCUGCCUAAAUAGAUUAUGUUCAUCUAUAGUCUGUACACUUUAAUUUUACACCUAGAAUAUAAGAUUAAUGCAUAUGUUGAUUUACUCAUUUAAUGAAAUAGAUAAAAGGAAAGCCCUAGAAGUUGAAGUAUAUUUAAUCUUGUGAGAUUAAUAAUAUGUAUUACAUGAAUUCAUCUCUGGUUUAACUUUUUGGUCUUAAUAAAAUGAAUAGAAUUAGGUUAUGUAAUUAUGGGAAACACUUAAAGAAUAAUCAAUUCCUAAAUGAGAUUAGUUCAUCUUAUAAUUUGAUCUUUUUCUUUGUUUGAUUACUACUAUACCUUUUUGAGAUGUGUUCCAAACACUUAUAGAGUAAUCAAUUCUUAAUUAAGAUUAGUUCAUUUUAUAAUUUGAUCUCAUUCUCCUUUAUUUAAUAUUAUACCUUUUGAGAUGUGUUCCAAUGUUUGUACAUGCUUGAUGUGUUGUUCAUUUGUACCUUCCAAAUGUAUUGAAUGUAUGGUCGCUUUAUUUCGACAACGAGCAGCCCGUGGUUCCUGAGUGUGUUGCCAAAGAUCCCUCUGAGCAACAACCUGGUGAAGGCAAGUGUGCUCAGACCUAUCAUGUCCUACUUUACUUUAUAAUUCAUUGUCUCGCAUUACAUUAUCGAAACUUAAAGAUUGACUGGUCUGUAUUUACCUUACCCUUGUUUACCUUUUUGGGUUAAUCAUGGUUAUUUUAUGCUAUUGCUUUAACUUAAUCAAUGAACAUGAUGUGAUUAUUUAUGAUACGAUGAUGUUAUCCCGUUGAGGUUCUUAUGAUUACUUUAGGGGACUCAGGCUGUUUCCUGAGUGCCUCUCUGUAAGGACCUGAUUGGGGAGUGACAACCCGGGAUAACAGUGCAACCAUGAGUGUGGAAUGGGACGCCCUUAGCUGAUUAAUUAGAGGAACUAGAGGAGUAGUUGGCUUCGUCGUAGGGCCGUCAAUGGGGUCCAGGCAUAGUACUUGCUCUGUCGAGGCUGGUUGCAGAGGUUCUUGAUUUGGUUUUGCUAGUCACCCUUCUUUUGGGGAGAUGUAUUGUGUUUAUCAAACUGGAGAAACCUAACGGACGGCUAUGGCCUCUGGGAAAUCUUUGUAAAGGCUACGUAGUGAGACCCUGCUAGGUCACCUUGGUAGUGAUCAAUGGGGAGGCUAGAACCCCGGGCAGAAAGGGAAUCACGACUUGUGGGUAAAGUGUGCGACCUCUGCAGAGUGUUAGAAACUAGUAUAUCACUCGUGCUCACGGUUAUGAGAUGCCUUGGGAUCCUCUUCAAUUAGAAGAACUUUGGUUACUUUUAUGAUGAUGGUUAGCAAUGAUGGUUAUAAUUUUAAUCUCUGGUAUUUCCUCUUGGAGGGAGUGCAUCUGGGUAAUAACUUGUUGUAUUACUAAAAUUUGGCUCUACUUGUAAUAAUAAAACUUGACUAACUAAAAGCAACUGCUUAACCUUAACUCCACAUACAGCUGCCCACUUUAGCCAAAUGGGACAUUUGCUGAGUACGUUGAUGUGUACUCACCCUUGCUUUACAAACCACCCCACCCCAGGUUGUUCCCACUGUACUCAGUGAUCAGGAGGAGAGGUUGCCAACUUGGAGGACUUUGAGGAGUUCCAGGACUAUGAUGAGUUCUAGUUUAUUUUAGUGGCAACCCCCAGUCAGCUGCAUGUGUAGGCUUAUCUUCUAUGUUUCGUUUCUCCACAUUUUAAUAUUAAUGUUGAACUCUAUGGAUAUGUAUUAGACUCUGUGGCAGACAUCUUGAUGUAAUUAAAGUAUUUUCCGCUAUUUAUUUCGAGCAUUGUGUGAUGAUGUCUAAUUAUGUAAGCCUUGUGUACGUGAGUUCUGAUCCUGGCACGUACAUGGUUCGCAUUCGGUUUACCUUCCAAAACCGGGUGUGACACCACAGUGCACCCCUGGAUCCGAGUUGAGAGAGAGGAGCUCCUCUCCGCAACGGGUGUCGAAGGGGGCACGGCUGCGCGUCGAAGGGGGUCACUGUAGCCGCCAAAUGAAGCACAACGAUAGGGGAGAGAGACACAAGUGUCGCCAGCCCGCUGUAGUUAGUCUAAAGGGCAGAGAGAGACACGGUGGCAGCAAUCUCUCACCAGCUGUAGUGAGGUAUAGACAGAGAAUUUAGAGAAAAUCGUUGCGGGAGAUGAAAAAAUAAGAGUAGAAUCUUGACGACAUGACGCAAAAGUCUAACCUGCAUCACUGCUCUCCAUAUAGUUGCAUUACUCCAAUCACUACAAUCUUCAACGCAGGGUAUAAUGGUCUCUUUAUGCUAGAAUUUAGCACGAACAAGGCUCACAAUAGUAGAAGCCUGGCUCUGGAUGUCACAAGAUUGCCGAGGUUGGAGCUGUUUCAGUGCGGAAUCAAAUGCACCUAAAAAGGUAACAAAAUGGCUGUUUUAAACUGAUAGAAGAAGCAAACAAAGUUCCUGUAAAACUCUGUUUUUACUGCCUAGAGCUAGAAGGAUGAGGCUUAGAGUGUCAAUAAUGGUGAUAUUGGGGGAUGCUUGUAUUCUACCUUAAUUACGAUUUCCUACUCUGAAAAUUGGCAUGGGUCAUUCUCCAACCUCAAGUUUUCAGCUUCAAUAUAUGCAUCAAAGUAGUUAAACAGAGUUUACAAAAAUAAUGUCCUUACGCAGCAAAAGUUUGGGUAAGUCAAAAUAAGAAAUCAUUUAUGCAACAGUGGUCCAACCUUCUCAUUGAAAUUAGACAAUAUAACAAAAUGGAGAAACAAUUUCCUAGUUAAUCAAAGGAUAUAAUGCAAGAGCUGCAUAUUCGAUAGAAUGCUCUUCAUUAGAUUAUCUUCGAAAUGGCUAAUCCCAUCUACACCACCCCACGGCCACGUAUACACACCUUGUGUGUUAUAAAGAAGGGCGAGCCCGGUGAAGGAGGUGACUGGCUACUGGCUGGCUCGGCGUCGGAGGUUUAUAGCGUGUUAUUUGCCUCUGGCAGAUAAGUUUUAUCCAGCAGCAUCAUUAUCCCUUGUUGCUUACGCAAGGCGACGGUGUGGAACCGUCAAUCGGUAAAAAAAUUGGUAUUUUACAUACAUGCGUAAUGCGUUUAUGACAAUAUAUAUAGCACAAUAGUUCAUGUGUCGGGAGGCGAAGACCAGCAGCGAAAAAGGCCUCAAAAACUAUCAACUCACCCUCAGGCUCGGGGACCUCUUCUGCACCCAGGGCCUGCCCGACACCGUUACUAAAGUAACCAAGCCGCUGCAUCUCCAGCAUGUGGCCCGAGAAAAUCCUUGAGGUCCUAAACUCCACGGUGUGGCCGGGCUGCAACUCAACCAUCGCCAAGUCACUCAAGGUCUCCUUGACGAUGGCGCGGCCGGCGAUGCGCUCAGCAGACGAGGAAGAAUACAUUGCAACGUACCGUCGGCGGCGGCGGCGCGCGGUCUGCUUGAUACGAGCCAAAUUUUCGGCGCAGAACGAGCAAGGAUGGCAGGCGAACAACUGUAAAAGCUAGGGUUUCCGCAGCGGAAAUGCAAGCAAGCGGUGGUCUCGGCGAGGUCAGCUUUUUAUAGGCACGACGCGACGCCUCGGGAAACCAGUAGUCCAACAGUAACGCGUCCAUCAACAGUCACAUUUCAAAAAAAACCGCGAGACCACUUCGAGAGAGGGCAGCGUCUUCACCAUCUCACGGUGAUCUUCGGCACCAGCUGACUUGGUCGAACUGGCCCCUCGGAGGGCAAAUGUUGGGGCGAAAGCGAACACGCCACCCUUCGUUCGACGACUUCUUCCUUGCGCUGCACGGAUGAAGACCGCAUCCGCAGGCCCCGCCGGACAGACCAAGGACACCGUCCAUACGGAGGCCUGUCCGACCCCCUUCGCUCCGGCAAGACAAGACGAAGGCCCCGCGAAGACCAUAGGGCCUCCUCCGCCUCAGAGCAGGGGGAGGCCCGUGUACAAUUCGGCCCAUGUAGCAGGGCCCCGCGUCCGGACGCCGCGUGGGCAGUAUGGGUUGGGUCGUUUCUGUAAUAAAGUAUGUCUUAAUGACUCGCUGUAACCUCCCCUCGUGGGAAUAUUAUGGGGAUAAACUAGGUAAUCGAGGGUCUAAAUGUCCUUGACAGGGUCGGGGGGACUACCUAUAAAUAUCCCCGUACUGUGCCAAAGCGUAGGGAGCAAUUUUGUGGCUUUGACACCCCGUGUAAGCAUUACAAAUCCAUCUCCCAUUUCCCGUUGGAUCUACCUGUCCUGAGAGGCAGGUUCCAACAGUCCCCUUUAGUGGAAUUAUUAUGUGGAAGUGUUAGUUAUUUUAGUUUACAGAGUAGGAUCCGCAGCUCAAAUUAAAGCCAUGAAACAAGUAGCUGGCAAAUCAAAAUUAGAACUAGCUCAAUUCGCAGAAUUACAAGCCUUUGCACAAUUCACCUCCGCUCUGGAUAAAACAAGUCAGAAUCAAUUGGCAAGGGGUCGACGAUUACGGGAAUUGCUUAAACAAUCCCAAUCAAACCCUCUCCCUGUGGAAGAGCAGGUAGCUACUAUUUAUAUCGGAACGAGAGGAUAUCUUGAUUCGUUAGAAAUUGAACAGGUAAAUAAAUUUCUGGAUGAGUUAGAUAAACACCUAAAAGAUACUAAACCUCAAUUCCAAGAAAUUAUAUCUUCUAAUAAGACAUUUACCGAGCAAGCAGAAACCCUUUUGAAGGAAGCUUUUCAGGAACAGCUUGAACGGUUUUCUCUUCAGGAACAAACAUAAAUAUAGCAUGUCUACUCUUAUUAGUAUAACUCGUGUUUGUAGAAGAGGAAUCAAAGAUUUUUCAUUUGAAUCAUGCAAAAAAUAGUUUUUAGUAUAGUUCACCUAACUAGUAGUACCUUAAGUCACUCAACAUUCAUGGUUAACAUUUUGUUUUGUUUUUUAUUUCUCGGUGGUCAGCGAAAACAAAAUUGCGACUAAAAUCUGCCAAUUUUGAAUUUCUCAACCGGGUGAAUUUUCGAAUUUGCAAAACAAGAUCAGAUAUUCGACCGAAAAAUCAUAUCUCUUUGGCGAAAUUCGAUGUUGUUUACCGAAAGUGAUGCUUUUGUAAACAAAUAAAAAAAUCUGAUCAUAUUUUUAUUAUAUUUUCCUAAGAAAAUAUUUGAAUUUUUAUUAUAUUUAUGUUUUUUAAUUUUUUUAGAAUUUUAAAAUUUGAAAUGAAAUUCGUCAAAACUAGAGCGGAAAAUGUUUCUGGCCAGUGCCGAGAACGAAAAAAAUUACCAAAUUUCGUCCAAAAAUUUAACCAUGCUGGCAGUAUAUCUGACGGAAGCUGGUAGCAGAUUAUAUAUAGAUCACACACACGUGAUGCAUACAAAAAUACGUACACAAAUAUGUAGUAGGGUAGAUCCUACCCGUGGCUGGAGGGCCUGCAGCCCUGGUCCAACACUUCAAGUUGUAUUUAGAGUAUCACUAUUAAUUUGAGCAUUUAAAGUUGUAUUUAAAGUGUUUAGUACAAUAAAAAUAAUUUGAGCUCCAAUUGCUUAAUGCUAAUCAUGUAUUUUAGAAAAUAAAUUACAUUGUUAGAAAAAAAUAUUAAAAAUGAUGUAUAAAACAAGGAUAUGAUACUAAUUCGGUGUGUAUAUUUGGAUCGCUUCAUGAUCUAUCCAAUAUUCUUUAUAAGAAAAAUAUAAAAUAGAACAUUGUUUGGAGCUAUUUUUUAUGAGUUGAGCCCUAUUUUUAAAGAUACACCUAUUAUUAUGAGUUGAGCCCUAUUUUAAAGAUACAACACUGAUUUAAGGUAUUGUUAGAGAUACUCUUAGGGCCUGUAGUAAUUUUAGUAUAGUCAUACGAAAAGGUCGACAAAUACAUACAGCAAGAUAGAGGCCCAUCAAGCCAUCACCAUGUGAACCACAUGCAACAACCCACCCAAGUUUGCAAUUCAUGCAUCCUCUUCAUAGUUGCUCUGUUAGUUCGCAUUGCAACCACCUUCAGUCUUCCUAACCUAUGAUUCAGCACUCUUUUUUGAUAUGUUUCCAAAUACAAUUUAAAUAUUUUAAAAUAGAUAUACAUAUAAUUUAGGAUUAACCUUCAAUUAUAUUGCUAACGACAUAUUAAAAUAAGAAUAGUUGUUUAAAAUUUUUAUGUAUUAUUUGCUUUGUACAACAAAAAUGGUGAAAAAACAUUCAAAUAUGAAUCAAUGUUCGGAUUUUAUUUCUAUCAUUUAAAAAAAUAUAGGACAAAUUCGAUAUUUAUUUUUUAAAAUCUUAAGUAGCUCAAUGCUAAAAACAAAAUACAAAUAUGCAUAGUAGAUCCUGCAUUCUACAUAUUCACAACCAAACAAAGAAAACCAAAAAUCUAACAACGAAAUAACAACAAAAAAUCUAACGACCAAAUAAGUAUCUGGAUCCAUAACAUGCAUAACAGGUUGUACGGCCCAGCAUGGAUCGAAUCGCAGUUGCAAGCAGCAGUCGCAGUCCCAUGGAUGCCGUCGUGUGAGCCGGCCUCGCAGUCUCAGUCUCAAGGGUACUUGGGCCUCUUCUUGGGGCUGGCGGUGAGCAUGUUGCGGUAGCAGGGGCAGUCAUGGAUGUCGCGCGGCGGCAUCGCAGGCCCGCAUUUGCAAAACUCGCAUUUUAGGCCGCAGGAGCUCAUGCACGCCUCCCGUGCCCGCCGCGUGGUCGUCCUCGCGCACCGAACGCAACACUUGCCCCAGGAGAACCCUGCAGCAUGCAUAUGCGCGCGAGCACCGGCGUCAGCGGUCACCAGCAGUCACGCACGAGAUCGAGACGGAUGACAACCACGCUAAGGGCGUCGCUCGCACGUAGUAGUAGUAUGUACGCACUUACCUAAAGCGGCGGCGUCGACGGUGUGGAGGCACGACGCGGCCACGAGGAGCACGAGCAGGAUGAUCGUUGCUGUCUGAAGCGGGGGCUUGGCCAUGGCCACCGGGAAGAGCUCUGCUGGCGCUUGUAGGCUGCUGUCAACUUUGGCUGAGGAGAGAGGGAGAGGGAGUGAGGUGCCACUUGCUCGUGUCCGGUCUCCUUUAUAUUCAUGGCGCUGCACCACACCGUCCCACCCCAUAGACGACCCCAACUCAUCCACCCUGGAAGUGAGGAUCUCAUCGCCACACACACCGGACCUCCACCCGACUGAGGUCAGCGAUCCUCUAGAGAGCGAUCCACGUGUGGCGUGGUUAGCCACCAUGAUUGUCCGAUUCCUGUGGAGGAUGAUAGCGCUAUUAGACUGCCUCCAGGCGGGUAGUGUAAAACAGAGAACAUAAAACUAUAGAUAACACUGUUUGACCAUUGUUUCACAUUGUUUAUAGUGUAAAGAUAAAAUAGGAAAUGUGAUAGGAGAUCUGCUAAAGAUAGCCUUAAUGUCUGUCGAGAAGGGACAUGGCCAUUGUGGGCCGAGGAGGCAGCAGCCAGCCGUACCUAUUCUUGUGGGUGCGUGAUACACUGCAUGUUAGACUCUCUGCACCGCUUCCCUCUCCCCAUCUCCCUAACCUCCAUGCUGCCCGUAGUGACCCGCUAAGACUAUCUGCAACAGUUCUUCUUAAAUUUCACUCUCUAUAUCCAAGUUUUGUACCACCACACCUAUAUUUCACCACUACUUUUUAUCUCCUGCAGCGGUUCUCCCUAAAUUCUCACUCUAUACCCCACUACAACAAUAAAAUAUCAUUUUUCAACUCUAUUCAUCAUUCAUUACUAUUUUUCCACUACCAAAUUUUGCCGAGCACGAAAAUCGAGUCUAGGGGGCACCACAGUGCACCCCUGGAUCCAGGGUGAGAGAUGAGCUCCUCUACGUAGCGAGCGUCGGAGGGGCACGGUUGCGCGUCGAACGGGGCCACUGUAACUGCCAAAUGAAGCACAGUGGUAGGGGAGAGGGACACAAGUGUCGCCCGUUGUAGUUAGUCUAAGGGCGCAGUGGCCAUCCCUUCACAACCCCCUACUCGAUGGCAGCACUGUCUCACCCGUUGUAGUGAGGUAUAAGGAGAGAAUUUAGAGGGAACCGUUGCAUGAGAUGAAAAAUAAGGGUAGAAUCUUGACGACAUGACCAAAAGUAGGAUAUAGAGGGAGAAAUUUAGAGGGAACCAUUGUGGGCAGUCUUACUCCAUCCAGCGGACCCUGGUCCCCAUCCCUGGUUCACCCCAUCCGUGUAUGUAUUUGUACUAUUACAGUACUUAUACACAUAAAUUAUUCGAUAAAAUGUUAGAGCACAACAAUUACAUGAAAACGAACAACACAUAAGAUCAAGAUCGACAUGCAGUACCAAAAGGAAAAAAGAAAAGUGUUGUUUAGUGGAAACGUUUUAUCAGUAACCGAAGGGUUGUGCUAGAACAAGCUCUGAUUGAAGGCCUAGAUGUCCAGAAAGUGAUUUUCAUUCAAUUUUGUAUGGAAACCCAAUAGAUUGUGAUUAUAGCCGGUGGAAAAUCAUGCAAUGUAUUAGAGGAAUUAGGCAUAUAUAAAAAAGAUUUCUUAAAAACCUAACCUGCAUCACUGUUCUCCAUAUAGGUGUAUUACUCCAAUCACUACAAUCUUCAACGCAGAGUAUAAUGGUCUCUUCAUCCUAGAAUUUAGCACGAACAAGGCUCUCAACAGUAGAAGCCUGGCUCUGGAUGUCACAAGAUUGCCGAGGUUGGAGCAGUUUCAGUGCGGAAUCAAAUGCACCUAAAAAGGUAACAGAAUGGUUGUUUUGAACUGAUAGAAGAAGCAAACAAAGGUCAUGUAAAACUCUGUUUUUACUGCCUAGAGCUAGAAGGAUGAGGCUUAGAGUGUCAAUAAUGGUGAUAUUGGGGGAUGCUUGUAUUCUACCUUAAUUACGAUUUCCUACUCUGAAAAUUGGCAUGGGUCAUUCUCCAACCUCAAGUUUUCAGCUUCAAUAUAUGCAUGAAAGUAGUUAAACAUAGUUUACAAAAAUAGUGUCCUUAUGCAACAAAAGUUUGGGUAAAUCAGAAAAAGAAAUCAUUUAUGCAAUAGUGGUCCAACCUUCUCAUUGAAAUUAGACAAUAUAACAAAAUGGAGAAACAAUUUCCUAGUGAAUCAAACGAUAUAAUGCAAGAGCUGCAUAUUCGACACUAUGAACAGACAGAUGAUUUCAUAUAUCAAGAUGGUGUUUGGUAGCAGUUGUCCUAUAUGCCUCCUUUUUCUAGCAAACUAACCUAAAAGUUCAUAAACAGUAUAAUCUACGCAGAGCCACGGAUUGGAUGCUAGUAGAACUUUCAGCAUAAAUAAAUAGAUCGAGUUAGCUACCAAAUAGCUUCUCCAAAAUCAUACAGAAAUAUAGAGAAACAUAAACGUACAAGGUGCGUUACAAAUAUCCCAUGCAUCCCUUACCCUUAGAAUGCUCUUCAUUGGAUUAUCUUUGAAAUGGCUAAUUCCAUCUGCACCACCCCACCACUGAAAGGGAAAUGUGCCCUUGGGCAAUUUCAAUAAGUAUUUUGGUGAUUAGAUGUCCAACACAGUAAUUGAGUACUUAUGUGCGAGAAGUGCAAAUCAGAGACAAAGGUAUGUUUCUAGACUUGGUGAAUUGUAUUAUGUACUAACAUAGUUAUCCAAGUGCUAGAAACAGUGACUAAAGAAGAAGAGAAGAAAAGGGAAAGAGUUGGCUGUGUGCAGCCAACACCAGCUCGGUCUUGCACACCGGACUGUCCGGUGGUGCACCGAACAGUGUCCGGUGCGCCAGGCUGGCCGGCGAUGAACUGGCCGCUUUCGAGAAAACACAGAGGCGCACGCCUAUAAUUCAUCGGACUGUCCGGUGGUGCACCGGACUGUCCGGUGAGCCAACGGUCGCCAGCGCAACGGUCGGCUGCACAAUUCGCGGGCGACGCCUGGCCCGCAGCAACGGUCGGUUGGGCACACCGGACUGUCCGGUGUGGUGCCCUAACUGACCCCAAGGACCAACGGUCAUAUGCGCCAGAAAAGGAAGGAGAUUGCGCACCGGACAGCUACAGUGAUUGUCCGGUGGUGCAUCGGACUAUCCAGUGCACCACCCGACAGAAGGCAAGUUUGGCCUUCCAAGUUGGCCUCCAACGGCUCCUAGCUGCCUUGGCGCCAUAAAAGGGACCCCUAGGUGCAUGGAGGAGGACACCAAGCUUACAAGAAACAUCCUAAGACUCCUAGACUCUGCUUUCAUGCAAUCGGAUCAUCGUUCUUGAGAUUUGAGCACUAUUUGAGUUGUAAACUCCUCGUGCUGUGUUUGUGUGCUCACUUUCUCUCUUGUGUGCGUGGUUGUGUUGCAGACUUGAGUCUUUCUUGUGUUGCUCUCCCCAACCUUACUCUCGUGCCUUCUUUGUGAUCUCAAUUGAAAGGGCGAGAGACUCCAAAUUGUGGAGAUUCCUCGCAAACGGGAAGAAUACUCUAAAGGAAAAGACCGUGGUAUUCAAGUUGAUCAUUGGAUCGCUUG